UACGAAGGGGGCUAGCGUUGCUCGGAAUCAUUGGGCGUAAAGCGCACGUAGGCGGUUCGUUAUGUCGGAUGUGAAAGCCCUUGGCUUAACCGAGGAAGUGCAUCCGAAACUGGCGAGCUAGAGUACGAAAGAGGAUCGCGGAAUUCCCGGUGUAGAGGUGAAAUUCGUAGAUAUCGGGAGGAACACCGGUGGCGAAGGCGGCGACUCGUCGGGUCGAUACUGACGCAUGAGGUGGA
rnacentral:rRNA from 1 species